rnacentral:rRNA from 1 species
GAUAAACGCUGGCGGCGUGCUUAACACAUGCAAGUCGAACGAAGUUUUUCUUUCGGGAGGAACUUAGUGGCGGACGGGUGAGUAACGCGUGGGUAACCUGCCCUGUACAGGGGGACAACAGCUGGAAACGGCUGCUAAUACCGCAUAAGCCCUUAGCACUGCAUGGUGCAUAGGGAAAAGGAGCAAUCCGGUACAGGAUGGACCCGCGUCUGAUUAGCCAGUUGGCAGGGUAACGGCCUACCAAAGCGACGAUCAGUAGCCGAUCUGAGAGGAUGUACGGCCACAUUGGGACUGAGACACGGCCCAGACUCCCACGGGAAGCAGCAGUGGGGAAUAUUGCACAAUGGAGGAAACUCUGAUGCAGCGACGCCGCGUGAGUGAAGAAGUAUUUCGGUAUGUAAAGCUCUAUCAGCAGGAAAGAAAAUGACGGUACCUGACUAAGAAGCACCGGCUAAAUACGUG